rnacentral:tRNA from 1 species
GGCGCGUUCGGCAAGCGGUUAAGCCAUAGCCCUCUCAAGGCUACAUCACGGGUUCAAGUCCCGUACGCGCUGCCA